GGGGGUGACUAGUGACAGAGUGAGGGAAGGAAGAGGUGACUAGUGACAGAGUGAGGAAGGGGGUGACACAGUGACAGAGUGAGGGAGGGAGUGACAGUGACAGAGUGAAGGAGGUGGUGACUGUCACUAGUCACCGCAUCCCUCCCUCUGUCACUAAUCACCACCUCCCUCACUCUGUCACUAGUCACCCCUUCCCUCCCUCACUCUGUCACUAGUCACCCCCUCCCUCUCUCUGCCACUAGUCACACCCUCCCUCACUCUGUCACUAGAGUGAGGG